AGCAGCCGCGGUAAUUCCAGCUCCAAUAGCGUAUAUUAAAGUUGUUGCAGUUAAAAAGCUCGUAGUUGAAUUUCGGGAUCAAUAUGUUGGUCGUGCCUUGGUACGUACUGGCAUUAUCGAUUCCUACCUUCUGAAGAACCUCGAUGUCAUUAAUUUGGUGUCUUGGGGAAUCAGGACUGUUACUUUGAAAAAUUAGAGUGUUUAAAGCAGGCUCGCGCUUGGAUACAUUAGCAUGGAAUAAUGAAAUAGGACGUUUGAUUCUAUUUUGUUGGUUUCUAGGAUCGACGUAAUGAUUAAUAGGGGUAGUUGGGGGCAUUAGUAUUCAAUUGUCAGAGGUGAAAUUCCUGGAUUUAUUGAAGACUAACUACUGCGAAAGCAUUUGCCAAGGAUGUUUCCAUUAAUCAAGAACGAAAGUUAGGGGAUCGAAGACGAUCAGAUACCGUCGUAGUCUUAACCAUAAACUAUGCCGACUAGGGAUCGGAUGAUGUUAAUUUUUAAUGUACUCAUUCGGCGCCUUAAC
rnacentral:rRNA from 1 species